rnacentral:rRNA from 1 species
UACGUAGGGGGCAAGCGUUGUCCGGAAUCAUUGGGCGUAAAGCGCGUGUAGGCGGGUCGGUAAGUCCGCUCUGAAAGCCCGGGGCUCAACCCCGGGAGGCGGGUGGAUACUGUCGACCUCGAGUCCGGAAGAGGCGAGUGGAAUUCCUGGUGUAGCGGUGAAAUGCGCAGAUAUCAGGAAGAACACCAAUGGCGAAGGCAGCUCUCUGGGACGGUACUGACACUGAGACGCGAAAGCGUGGGGAGCGAACAGG